GCUCAAUGAAAUUUAAAUAGCCGCUUUUGUGCUAAGGUAGCAUAAUAAUUUGUCUUUUAAUUAAAGACUAGAACAAAAGACUUAACAUCUCAAUAGAUUUUUUUUAAAAAAUUAUUUAAAUUAUUUUAAUUGUAAAAAAACAAUUUUUAAAAAGAAAGACGAUAAGACCCUAUCGAACUUCACUUCAGUUUAACUGGGGCAGUUAAUUAAUUAUUACUUUAAUAAUAUUAAAUAUUUAAUUUGACCUAAUAUAAUUAACAAUAUAAUUAAGUUACCGUAGGGAUAACAGUGUAAUAAAAUUUUUAAGAUCUUAUUUAAAAUAAAGAUUGCAACCUCGAUGUUGAUUUAAUAUUCUAAUUUACGCAAUAGUUAAUUAAGAAAGUCUGUUCGACUUUUAAAAAAUUACAUGAUUUGAGUUCAGACCGGUGUAAACCAGGUCGGUUUCUAUCUUCUAAUAAAAAAUUCUUCUAGUACGAAAGGACCUAAGAAAAUAAUAGUAUU
rnacentral:rRNA from 1 species